GGAAUCUUCCACAAUGGGCGAAAGCCUGAUGGAGCAACGCCGCGUGUGUGAUGAAGGCUUUCGGGUCGUAAAGCACUGUUGUAUGGGAAGAACAGCUAGCAUAGGGAAUGAUUUUAGUUUGACGGUACCAUACCAGAAAGGGACGGCUAAAUACGUGCCAGCAGCCGCGGUAAUACGUAGGUGGCAAGCGUUAUCCGGAUUUAUUGGGCGUAAAGCGAGCGCAGGCGGUCUUUUAAGUCUAAUGUGAAAGCCUUCGGCUCAACCGAAGAAGUGCAUUGGAAACUGGGAGACUUGAGUGCAGAAGAGGACAGUGGAACUCCAUGUGUAGCGGUGAAAUGCGUAGAUAUAUGGAAGAACACCAGUCGCGAAGGCGGCUGUCUGGUCUGCAACUGACGCUGAGGCUCGAAAGCAUGGGUAGCGAACA
rnacentral:rRNA from 1 species